rnacentral:rRNA from 1 species
AUGCUGGAGAACUCGAACAGUAAUGGACAGGACUUCAUAAAUGAAGUUGCAACCAUUGGUAGAAUCCACCAUGCCAAUGUGGUUCACCUUUUGGGGUUUUGCUCCGAAGGAACAAGGCGUGCUCUUAUUUACGAAUUCAUGCCUAAUGAAUCACUUGAGGAAUAUAUAUUCGCACAUGAAUCUGAUAUUUGCCGAGAACUAUUAACACCUAACAAAAUGCUUGAAAUAGCAUCGAGCAUUGCACGAGGAAUGGAGUACCUGCAUCAGGGGUGCAAUCAGCGCAUCCUCCAUUUUGGCAUCAGGGGUGCAAUCAGCGCAUCCUCCAUUUUGACAUCAAGCCUCACAACAUCUUGCUAG